rnacentral:tRNA from 1 species
UCGAUAGCUCAGUUGGUAGAGCAAAGGACUGAAAAUCCUUGUGUCGGUGGUUCAAGUCCACCUCGAG